GGGUUUGUAGCUCAGUGGAUAGAGCGUCUGUCUCCGGAACAGAAGGUUCCGGGUGCACUCUCUGUCGGAGUUACCGGCCAGCCCUA
rnacentral:tRNA from 2 species